ACGACAAGUAGGGUCCUUUUGCGUCACCAUCGCAGGAUGUUCGACUUGUUGU
rnacentral:pre_miRNA from 1 species